AAGAGACAGCGCCGCCGGCCGUGGGGAGCGGACGCAGUGAUUUGCUCCCCCUCGUGCAGCAACCCCCACACCCAGCACCAGGCCCCCAGAACUCUCCUUCCAGCUGAACUCCCUGGGAACAAGUCAGUUGGGCUGAUCACUGAACUCACAUUUCUGGACCUGAGGAGCCUGUUCCUCUCACGCCCUCACCUGGCUGAGCCGCAGUAGUUCUUCAGUGGCAAGCUUUAUGUCCUGACCCAGCUAAAGCUGCCAGUUGAAGAACUGUUGCCCUCUGCCCCUGGCUUCGAGGAGGAGGAGGAGCUGCUUUCCCCAUCAUCUGGAAGGUGACAGAAAUGGGCUGGGAAGGUCCGGACAGCAGGGUGGAUGAUAACAUUUUGGGCAAGUUGGAGAGCCUUUGCCCAGAUUGGCCCGGCAAGGAGCGGUUUUAGAUUAGAGACACUGGCUGGAUUGAGGAGUAGAAGGCUCAAACAACCCAAGGUGGUAUGUGAUCCCCAGCUCAGGCCUGUGCAGACAGGAAAUUCUCCCCUGCAGCAAGUAGGGGAGGUGGGUUGUGGGAUG
rnacentral:lncRNA from 1 species